CAGCCGCCGCGGUAAUACGAAGGGUGCAAGCGUUAAUCGGAAUUACUGGGCGUAAAGCGCGCGUAGGUGGUUUGGUAAGAUGGAUGUGAAAUCCCCGGGCUCAACCUGGGAACUGCAUCCAUAACUGCCUGACUAGAGUACGGUAGAGGGUGGUGGAAUUUCCUGUGUAGCGGUGAAAUGCGUAGAUAUAGGAAGGAACACCAGUGGCGAAGGCGACCACCUGGACUGAUACUGACACUGAGGUGCGAAAGCGUGGGGAGCAAACAGGAUUAGAUACCCGUGUAGUCCCUGUAUCUUAUAC
rnacentral:rRNA from 1 species